rnacentral:misc_RNA from 1 species
UAUUUUAUACUUUAAACUUUGAUUUUAUUUUUAUGUUUUUUAAAUAUUGGUGUUUUUGAAUGUGUUGUUUAAAUAACAUAAAAAAUAAAAUAUAUAUUGACAUGUAUUAAACAAAGAUAUAUAUUAUUUUAUGUUGUAUAAAUAAAUUGGCAAAAUAGAGAUGGAAGAUAAAAAUAUGGUCAAAGUAAUAAGAGUCUAUG